UUGUAUGAGGGCGCAGUGAUUGUAGGUGGAGCUCUGGGUCAGUAGUAAUAUUGUAUGAGGGCGCAGUAAUUGUAGGUGGAGCUCAGGGUCAGUAGUAAUAUUGUAUGAGGGCACAGUGAUUGUAGGUGGAGCUCUGGGUCAGUAGUAAUAUUGUAUGAGGGCGCAGUGAUUGUAGGUGGAGCUCUGGGUCAGUAGUAAUAUUGUAUGAGGGCGCAGUGAUUGUAGGUGGAGCUCUGGGUCAGUAGUAAUAUUGUAUGAGGGCGCAGUGAUUGUAGGUGGAGCUCUGGGUCAGUAGUAAUAUUGUAUGAGGGCGCAGUGAUUGUAGGUGAAGCUCAGGGUCAGUAGUAAUAUUGUAUGAGGGCGCAGUGCUUAUAGGUGAAGCUCAGGGUCAGUAGUAAUAUUGUAUGAGGGCGCAGUGAUUAUAGGUGAAGCUCAGGGUCAGUAGUAAUAUUGUAUGAGGGCGCAGUGAUUGUAGGUGGAGCUCUGGGUCAGUAGUAAUAUUGUAUGAGGGCGCUGUGAUUGUAGGUGGAGCUCUGGGUCAGUAGUAAUAUUGUAUGAGGGCGCAGUGCUUAUAGGUGAAGCUCAGGGUCAGUAGUAAUAUUGUAUGAGGGCGCAGUGAUUGUAGGUGGAGCUCUUGGUUAGUAGUAGUAAUGUAUGAGGGCGCAGUGAUUGUAGGUGGAGCUCUGGGUCAGUAGUAAUAUUGUAUGAGGGCGCAGUGAUUGUAGGUGGAGCUCUUGGUUAGUAGUAGUAAUGUAUGAGGGCGCAGUGAUUGUAGGUGGAGCUCUGGGUCAGUAGUAAUAUUGUAUGAGGGCGCAGUGAUUGUAGGUGGAGCUCUGGGUCAGUAGUAAUAUUGUAUGAGGGCGCAGUGAUUGUAGGUGGAGCUCUGGGUCAGUAGUAAUAUUGUAUGAGGGCGCUGUGAUUGUAGGUGGAGCUCUGGGUCAGUAGUAAUAUUGUAUGAGGGCGCUGUGAUUGUAGGUGGAGCUCUGGGUCAGUAGUAAUAUUGUAUGAGGGCGCAGUGAUUGUAGGUGGAGCUCUGGGUCAGUAGUAAUAUUGUAUGAGGGCGCAGUGAUUGUAGGUGGAGCUCUGGGUCAGUAGUAAUAUUGUAUGAGGGCGCAGUGAUUGUAGGUGGAGCUCUGGGUCAGUAGUAAUAUUGUAUGAGGGCGCAGUGAUUGUAGGUGGAGCUCUGGGUCAGUAGUAGUAUUGUAUGAGGGUGCAGUGAUUGUAGGUGGAGCUCUGGGUCAGUAGUAAUAUUGUAUGAGGGCGCAGUGAUUGUAGGUGGAGCUCUGGGUCAGUAGUAAUAUUGUAUGAGGGCGCAGUGAUUGUAGGUGGAGCUCUGGGUCAGUAGUAGUAUUGUAUGAGGGCGCAGUGAUUGUAGGUGGAGCUCUGGGUCAGUAGUAAUAUUGUAUGAGGGCGCAGUGAUUGUAGAUGGAGCUCUGGGUCAGUAGUAAUAUUGUAUGAGGGCGCAGUGAUUGUAGGUGGAGCUCUGGGUCAGUAGUAAUAUUGUAUGAGGGCGCUGUGAUUGUAGGUGGAGCUCUGGGUCAGUAGUAAUAUUGUAUGAGGGCGCAGUGAUUGUAGGUGAAGCUCAGGGUCAGUAGUAAUAUUGUAUGAGGGCGCAGUGAUUGUAGGUGGAGCUCUGGGUCAGUAGUAAUAUUGUAUGAGGGCGCUGUGAUUGUAGGUGGAGCUCUGGGUCAGUAGUAAUAUUGUAUGAGGGCGCAGUGAUUGUAGGUGGAGCUCUGGGUCAGUAGUAAUAUUGUAUGAGGGCGCUGUGAUUGUAGGUGGAGCUCUGGGUCAGUAGUAAUAUUGUAUGAGGGCGCAGUGCUUAUAGGUGAAGCUCAGGGUCAGUAGUAAUAUUGUAUGAGGGCGCAGUGAUUGUAGGUGGAGCUCUUGGUUAGUAGUAGUAAUGUAUGAGGGCGCAGUGAUUGUAGGUGGAGCUCUGGGUCAGUAGUAAUAUUGUAUGAGGGCGCAGUGAUUGUAGGUGAAGCUCAGGGUCAGUAGUAAUAUUGUAUGAGGGCGCAGUGAUUGUAGGUGGAGCUCUGGGUCAGUAGUAAUAUUGUAUGAGGGCGCAGUGAUUGUAGGUGGAGCUCUGGGUCAGUAGUAAUAUUGUAUGAGGGCGCAGUGAUUGUAGGUGGAGCUCAGGGACAGUAGUAAUAUUGUAUGAGGGCGCAGUGAUUGUAGGUGGAGCUCUGGGUCAGUAGUAAUAUUGUAUGAGGGCGCAGUGAUUGUAGGUGGAGCUCUGGGUCAGUAGUAAUAUUGUAUGAGGGCGCAGUGAUUGUAGGUGGAGCUCUGGGUCAGUAGUAAUAUUGUAUGAGGGCGCAGUGAUUGUAGGUGGAGCUCUGGGUCAGUAGUAAUAUUGUAUGAGGGCGCAGUGAUUGUAGGUGGAGCUCUGGGUCAGUAGUAAUAUUGUAGGUGGAGCUCUGGGUCAGUAGUAAUAUUGUAUGAGGGCGCAGUGAUUGUAGGUGGAGCUCAGGGACAGUAGUAAUAUUGUAUGAGGGCGCAGUGAUUGUAGGUGGAGCUCUGGGUCAGUAGUAAUAUUGUAUGAGGGCGCAGUGAUUGUAGGUGGAGCUCUGGGUCAGUAGUAAUAUUGUAUGAGGGCGCAGUGAUUGUAGGUGGAGCUCUGGGUCAGUAGUAAUAUUGUAUGAGGGCGCAGUGAUUGUAGGUGGAGCUCUGGGUCAGUAGUAAUAUUGUAGGUGGAGCUCUGGGUCAGUAGUAAUAUUGUAUGAGGGCGCAGUGAUUGUAGGUGGAGCUCAGGGACAGUAGUAAUAUUGUAUGAGGGCGCAGUGAUUGUAGGUGGAGCUCUGGGUCAGUAGUAAUAUUGUAUGAGGGCGCAGUGAUUGUAGGUGAAGCUCAGGGUCAGUAGUAAUAUUGUAUGAGGGCGCAGUGCUUAUAGGUGAAGCUCAGGGUCAGUAGUAAUAUUGUAUGAGGGCGCAGUGAUUAU